GGUAGGUUAGAAUAAUCAACCAUGUCAACACGCUACGCCAUGACACAGGCAACCGGAGACCAGCAAGUUUCAUUUCCUGUUCCGGUGCAAAGCAUCUCACAGCUCAGUGACUGGGCACGCGCCCUGUCAGACACAGGCCAGGCAUUUAGACCUGAAUUUGAGAGAGAACACAACCCAUUUCCCUCAGAGGAAGAGCUUCCGACAUGCGGUUCCCUGGGCUGCUGAGAGUCGUCAUAGCGUCCGUCUGCCUUGGAUCUGUCAAAGCCCAGAAGGUAACUCAAGACCAGCCAGCAAUUUCUAGGCCGGAGAAGGAGGCGGCCACCUUGGACUGUGUAUAUGAAGCUAAAGGUUACAGUUAUUAUUUACUCUGGUACAAACAAGCAGCAAGCGGGGAAAUGCUUUUCCUCAUUCAUCAGGAGUCUUACAAUGAGCGAAAUACAACAGAGGGUCGAUAUUUUUUGAACUUCCAGAAAUCGGCCAGUUCCAUCAGCCUCACCAUCACAGCCUUGGAGCUCGGGGACUCAGCGGUGUAUUUCUGUGCUCUGAACGACCACAGUGAUGUGGAUGCCUGUGGGAGCCCCACGGAAACCUCAGGUCUCAACGUGAUCCCCCAGCUGUGAACACCUGGUUGAGAAUCGCACCGUGGACAGAAGAGGGCAGAGGCUGUGCCAUUGGGGGAAGGGGGGUUAGAAGUGGAAAAUUCAUGCUAAGGGAAAUGCGAUCUGUGUAGCUCAGGGAAUCUCUCUCUGAUACAUAGUGUCAUUCAUCUAAAGCAUCUUUAGUUUCACUUCUUUAUCUUGAAGUAGAUCAUUUGGCAAAGUAUUUUUUAAACUUUUUUAUGGUGAUUACAUAUUUUUAAAUUCAGUACUAUUUGGCCAAAUAUACACCUGAACUGUUAGACUUUUAGGUUCACUGCACAAAUACUGAUGCAUAUUUACUUAUAUGAAGGCCUUUACUUACACUUUAGAUUCUAAUGACUCCAGAUGGCCUCAGUUUCAGACAAUUUUGCACCAAAUACGUGCAGAAUAGCUGUCACAUAACAUCUAAAACAGCAAUGUCUCUGUGUUGCUGUUGGAUAAUGUUAGGUGGGAGUUACCCUAGUGGAUUUGUCUCCAUCUGGAAUUCCAAAAAGGAAGACAGUCCUCCUUGUAUAAGGAUUUUCUGCCCCUACUGUACAAAUAACAAUGAUCCCAAUACAGGACAAUUUUCCAGAAAAGAAAGCAUGAGUGUGUGUGUGUGCGAGAGUGAGAGAGAGAGAAAUAGAGAGAGAGAGAGAAACAACAGAAUUAUGUAGCCAAGUCAUCAGGAAAUUAACUAGUUAAACAGUUAAAUUUUGUAAAACACACAUAUUGGAAGAAUGUAACUCAAGUCUUCCAGAGACAACUUUUAAUGAAGAAAAUGGAUAUAAGCAGUUUACAAGGAUGUAGAUGAAAGAAUUGAAACAAGAAAAAUGUGUCCUAGAGUGUGGCGCAGGAAACUGUAUUGGUGAGAGUGACUCAAAAGAGGAUUCCCAACAUUCAGCAAAAAAAUUAAAAGCACAGGACCUAAAAUAUUCAAUUAUCCAUCUUGUUUAAUGUUUACUUCAAUCUAUUUGUACUUCUGAAGCACGAAGAUGCUUCUAAGGCAUUUUGGAGAAGGUGGCCUAGCAACGCAAACUGGCGCCAGUGUGAAGUCAUGGUCCCUAAUCGCUACUUGAUCCCUAACAUCCCCCAAAUCACAUCCUGUUUCCUUCAUCACUGACAUAUCUCACCACAACAGCUAUUUUAAAAUUUCUUGAUCAUCUCAUAUCUCUAAUUCUUCUAAUAUCAUCUUUAGAAUAUUUUGCCUAUAAGUAAAUAAAUGCCAUUGGGAAGGAGAGCAUUGUGUGCCCAUAACUUGCUUUGUGCCUCCUUUGAGGUCACCUGAGCUGACCUCUUUGUGGACAUAGUAAUUACAUUUAUACUUGAAAGAUAAAGAGGAAUUUUUCGGGGUUAUUCUGUACUAAGUUCUUAUCCAGAAUGACCUUAGCAGGGCACACAGGGUAUUUCUAGAUUAUUCAUUGCAAAUAAACCAGGAUUUGGGGGAACUAUAUUCCACAUCUUGUAGUAACCUGUAGUGACAAAGAAUAUGAAAAGGAAUAUAUGUGGGUACAUGAAUGACUGAAGCAUUAUGCGGUACACCAAAAAUAGACACAACAUUGUAAACUGACUAUACUUCAAUAAAAACUAAAAAUUAAAAAAACCCCAGAAUUUAUGGACCCGGGAUAUACCUGAUUGGAAAUGGGAAUUAACUAAUGCAGGAUCUCUAGGAACGCGAUCAGCAAAGGUAUAAAACCUGAACGAUCACAAGCCUAAAUGGCUCCGUGCUGCAGGCUGUGCUGCUGCCGUGACGUUUGCCCUGCUGCACCCCAGUCUGUGCUGCUGUUGAGAAAGGGGCUUUAGGAAGCUUCGUUGGAAGAUUUAGGACCUCCCAGAGGCAGACUGACUCUGCCGCUCUGUCUUGUUUGUAGCCUUGUUCUCGGGAAGCCCCCGUGUGUCUCCUCCUGGUCACUGCCAUCCUUCCAGGGAAACCACAAUCCCAUGGAUAGA